rnacentral:rRNA from 2 species
GGGAUUGCCCUAGUAACGGCGAGUGAAGCGGCAACAGCUCAAAUUUGAAAUCUGGCGUCUUUGGCGUCCGAGUUGUAAUUUGCAGAGGGCGCUUUGGCAUUGGCAGCGGUCCAAGUUCCUUGGAACAGGACGUCACAGAGGGUGAGAAUCCCGUACGUGGUCGCUAGCCUUUACCGUGUAAAGCCCCUUCGACGAGUCGAGUUGUUUGGGAAUGCAGCUCUAAAUGGGAGGUAAAUUUCUUCUAAAGCUAAAUACUGGCCAGAGACCGAUAGCGCACAAGUAGAGUGAUCGAAAGAUGAAAAGCACUUUGGAAAGAGAGUUAAAAAGCACGUGAAAUUGUUGAAAGGGAAGCGCUUGCAGCCAGACUUGCCUGUAGUUGCUCAUCCGGGUUUUUACCCGGUGCACUCUUCUAUAGGCAGGCCAGCAUCAGUUUGGGCGGUUGGAUAAAGGUCUCUGUCAUGUACCUCCUUUCGGGGAGAUCUUAUAGGGGAGACGACAUGCAACCAGCCUGGACUGAGGUCCGCGCAUCUGCUAGGAUGCUGGCGUAAUGGCUGUAAGCGGCCCGUCUUGAAACACGGACCAAGGAGUCUAACAUCUAUGCGAGUGUUUGGGUGUCAAGCCCGAACGCGUAAUGAAAGUGAACGGAGGUGGGAACCUUUCGGGGUGCACCAUCGACCGAUCCUGAUGUCUUCGGAUGGAUUUGAGUAAGAGCAUAGCUGUUGGGACCCGAAAGAUGGUGAACUAUGCUUGAAUAGGGUGAAGCCAGAGGAAACUCUGGUGGAGGCUCGCAGCGGUUCUGACGUGCAAAUCGAUCGUCAAAUUUGGGCAUAGGGGCGAAAGACUAAUCGAACUAUCUAGUAGCUGGUUACUGCCGAAGUUUCCCUCAGGAUAGCAGUAACGUUUUCAGUUUUAUGAGGUAAAGCGAAUGAUUAGAGGCAUGGGGGUUGAAACAACCUU